AUGGCCGCCGCACUGAGCCUCCGCGCGCCCUUCUCCGUGCGCGCCGUGGCGCCACCGGCGCCCCGCGUGGCCCUGGCGCCCGCGGCCCUCAGCCUCGCCGCCGCCAAGCAGGUGCGGGGAGCCAGGCUCCGCGCGCAGGCGACGUACAAGGUGAAGCUGGUGACGCCCGAGGGCGAGGUGGAGCUGGAGGUCCCCGACGACGUCUACAUCCUCGACCAGGCCGAGGAGGAGGGGAUCGACCUGCCCUACUCCUGCCGCGCCGGCUCCUGCUCCUCCUGCGCCGGCAAGUUGGUGUCCGGCGAGAUCGACCAGUCCGACCAGAGCUUCCUCGACGACGACCAGAUGGAGGCCGGGUGGGUGCUCACCUGCCACGCCUACCCCAAGUCCGACAUCGUCAUCGAGACCCACAAGGAGGAGGAGCUCACCGCAUAA
rnacentral:rRNA from 1 species